rnacentral:rRNA from 1 species
CGACGCAACGCGAAGAACCUUACCUACUCUUGACAUCUACAGAAGAACGCAGAGAUGUGUUUGUGCCUUCGGGAACUGUAAGACAGGUGCUGCAUGGCUGUCGUCAGCUCGUGUUGUGAAAUGUUGGGUUAAGUCCCGCAGCGAGCGCAACCCUUAUCCUUAGUUGCCAGCGAUUCGGUCGGGAACUCGUAGGGAGACUGCCGGUGAAUAAACCGGAGGAAGGUGGGACGACGUCAAGUCAUCAUGGCCCUUACGAGUAGGGCUACACACGUGCUACAAUGGUAUGUACAGAGGGAGGCAAGCUGGCGACAGUGAGCGGAUCUCUUAAAGCAUAUCGUAGUCCGGAUUGGAGUCUGCAACUCGACUCCAUGAAGUCGGAAUCGCUAGUAAUCGCAAAUCAGAAUGUUGCGGUGAAUACGUUCCCGGGCCUU